rnacentral:rRNA from 1 species
CCUACGGGAGGCUGCAGUGGGGAAUAUUGGACAAUGGGGGGAACCCUGAUCCAGCCAUGCCGCGUGUGUGAAGAAGGCCCUCGGGUUGUAAAGCACUUUCAGUGAGGAAGAACGCCUGGUGGUUAAUACCCAUCAGGAAAGACAUCACUCACAGAAGAAGCACCGGCUAACUCCGUGCCAGCAGCCGCGGUAAUACGGAGGGUGCGAGCGUUAAUCGGAAUUACUGGGCGUAAAGCGCGCGUAGGUGGCUUGAUAAGCCGGUUGUGAAAGCCCCGGGCUCAACCUGGGAACGGCAUCCGGAACUGUCAAGCUAGAGUGCAAGAGAGGAAGGUAGAAUUCCCGGUGUAGCGGUGAAAUGCGUAGAGAUCGGGAGGAAUACCAGUGGCGAAGGCGGCCUUCUGGACUGACACUGACACUGAGGUGCGAAAGCGUGGGUAGCAAACAGGAUUAGAUACCCUGGUAGUC